rnacentral:rRNA from 1 species
AGCUCCAAUAGCGUAUAUUAAAGUUGUUGCAGUUAAAAAGCUCGUAGUUGGAUUUCUGACAAGAGAUAUCGGUCCGGGCAUUCGUGUCCGUGUACUUGGUUUUCUCUAGUCAUCCUUAUAGAGAACGUGCGCGGCAUUAAGUUGUUGCGUACGGGACCUAUAUCAUUUACUGUGAAAAAAUUAGAGUGUUCAAAGCAGGCAAUCGCUGUGAAUACAUUAGCAUGGAAUAAUAAGAUAGGACUUUGGUACUAUUUUGUUGGUUUGCAUACCAAAGUAAUGAUUAAGAGGGACAGUUGGGGGUAUUCGUAUUUAAUUGUCAGAGGUGAAAUUCUUGGAUUUAUGAAAGACGAACUACUGCGAAAGCAUUUACCAAGGAUGUUUUCAUUAAUCAAGAACGAAA